rnacentral:SRP_RNA from 1 species
GCUGGGCGCUGUGGCACAUGCCUGUAGUCCCAGCUACUCAGGAGGCUGAGGUGCGAGGAUCGCUUGAGCCCAGGAAUUCUGGGCUGUAGUGCGCUAUGCCCAUCGGGUGUCCGCACUAAGUUCAGCAUCAAUAUGGUGACCUCCCGGGAGCAGGGGACCACCAGGUUGCCUAAGGAGGGGUGAACUGGCCCAGGUCGGAAACGGAGCAGGUCAAAACUCGAGUGCAGCCAGGUGUGGUGGCUCACGCCUGUAAUCCCAGCACUUUGGUAUGCUGAGGUGGGUGGAUCACCUAAGGUCAGGAGUUCGAGACCAGCCUGGUAAACAUGGUGAAACCUCGUCUCU